UACAGAGGUCCCAAGCGUUAUCCGGAUUCACUGGGUUUAAAGGGUGCGUAGGUGGGUUGGUAAGUCAGUGGUGAAAUCUCCAGGCUUAACUUGGAAACUGCCAUUGAUACUAUCAAUCUUGAAUACCGUGGAGGUCAGCGGAAUAUGUCAUGUAGCGGUGAAAUGCUUAGAUAUGACAUAGAACACCAAUUGCGAAGGCAGCUGGCUACACGAAUAUUGACACUGAUGCACGAAAGCGUGGGGAUCAAACAGG
rnacentral:rRNA from 1 species